GAACGACUCACCGACGAUCACGCAGUUUCUUCCAGACAAAGAAUAAUUAUAGUUGGAUUACCGUUCUGAAUAUUUAAGGAAGAUUUCCGGAUCAGAGUGCAAAAUCCUUAUAAACUCUCAAGAUGUUCACGAACCAAUUGAACGUGCUGGUGAGCCUGAUGAUCGCCAUCGCAUUUCUUAUGUCGGAAUCAAAAAAAAGACGCACAAACGAACGGCUACCCCAACCAGAAGCGACCGUGCCCCAGAAAUAUUGUGGCGAAAAGCUCUUAAAUACUCGACGUAUAGUCUGUAAUGACCUAUACAAUUCCAUGUAUGAUACUAGUAGGAAUCAUGAAAUAAAGAAGAUCGAUUAUGCAUUUGCUUCCGGUUCUUUCCCGUUUCUGUUCCGAUCAAGAACACAAGAGAUGUUGAAUAGAUCGUUCGACGGUAGGAGCUAUCGAAGGAAAGCGCGAGACAUCCACGAGGAGUGCUGCAUCAAUAAGUGCACGAGAAGCGUCCUGUCCAUGUAUUGCGC